rnacentral:tRNA from 1 species
GCUGCUGCGCCGCGGCGGCGGGCGGAUGGUGCUGGUGGCGCCGUUUUUGCCGGUGUUCAACGCGCUGCUGCCGCU